GGGGGGAUCGUCUAACUGGUUAAGACACUGGGCUUGGAUGCGGAGUUCGAUUCCCGCUCCCCUCA
rnacentral:tRNA from 1 species